rnacentral:rRNA from 1 species
UACAGAGGUCUCAAGCGUUGUUCGGAUUCAUUGGGCGUAAAGGGUGCGUAGGCGGCGCGGUAAGUCGGGUGUGAAAUCUCGGAGCUUAACUUCCGAAACUGCAUUCGAUACUGCCGUGCUUGAGGACUGGAGAGGAGACUGGAAUUUACGGUGUAGCGGUGAAAUGCGUAGAUAUCGUAAGGAAGACCAGUGGCGAAGGCGGGUCUCUGGGCAGUAACGUGACGCUGAGGAGCGAAAGCGUGGGGAGCGAACAGG